rnacentral:misc_RNA from 1 species
UCCGGUUUGGCACCGGCAGUCUCCCUAGAGUUCCCGGCAUCACCCGCUGGCAACUAAGGACAGGGGUUGCGCUCGUUGCGCCACUUAAGGCAACACCUCACGGCACGAGCUGACGACAGCCAUGCACCACCUGUGCAGGCUCCGAAGAGCACCCGCUUUCACGGGUUUCACCCUGCAUGUCAAGCCCAGGUAAGGUGGGGAUGACGUUACGGUCUUACU